UACGUAGGGUGCAAGCGUUAAUCGGAAUUACUGGGCGUAAAGCGUGCGCAGGCGGUGAUGUAAGACAGAUGUGAAAUCCCCGGGCUCAACCUGGGAACUGCAUCUGUGACUGCAUUGCUGGAGUGCGGCAGAGGGAGAUGGAAUUCCGCGUGUAGCAGUGAAAUGCGUAGAUAUGCGGAGGAACACCGAUGGCGAAGGCAAUCCCCUGGGCCUGCACUGACGCUCAUGCACGAAAGCGUGGGGAGCAAACAGG
rnacentral:rRNA from 1 species